ACUUGAGAUCAUUACUCACCUGCUGGAUCACCGCUGCCGCUCUUCGGAGCCUUCCCACGCUCCACCCUUCACCAGCUUCCUCGCAGGCUCAAGACCUCUCUCUUUUGGCACCCUCCCCUGGCCUGACUACCUCGGAUUUCAAAUCUUGCCUGGUCCCUCGCUACCUGCCUUCGCUCCUCAUGCCUGCCUCUCUCUCCAGUUAACUGCAUUCAUAUGUUCAGCUGAGCUCAGCCUUGUAUUUAAAUAAAGUUUAUUUCUAUGUUUAUAUUUCUUUAAAGUGAGUAAGAGCUCAUUUAAGUUAGUUCAUGUGCAAUUUCUCUAAGCAAAUAAAGAAUCUCAAAAUGCA